ACGAACGCCGGCGGCGUGCUUAACACAUGCCAGUCGAACGGAAAGGCCCUGCUUUUGUGGGGUGCUCGAGUGGCGAACGGGUGAGUAACACGUGAGUAACCUGCCCUUGACUUUGGGAUAACUUCAGGAAACUGGGGCUAAUACCGGAUAGGAGCUCCUGCUGCAUGGUGGGGGUUGGAAAGUUUCGGCGGUUGGGGAUGGACUCGCGGCUUAUCAGCUUGUUGGUGGGGUAGUGGCUUACCAAGGCUUUGACGGGUAGCCGGCCUGAGAGGGUGACCGGCCACAUUGGGACUGAGAUACGGCCCAGACUCCUACGGGAGGCAGCAGUGGGGAAUAUUGCACAAUGGGCGGAAGCCUGAUGCAGCAACGCCGCGUGCGGGAUGACGGCCUUCGGGUUGUAAACCGCUUUCGCCUGUGACGAAGCGUGAGUGACGGUAAUGGGUAAAGAAGCACCGGCUAACUACGUG
rnacentral:rRNA from 1 species